CACCAACCACAAACUUAACUUUUCCAAAAUUAAUUCUGCAAAAAAGAAAAAAAAAACUUUCCAAAAAUUACUAUUUUGAAUUUCAAAUGUGGUUGGUAACAAAAGCCACACUUAUCCUGUGAACUCAUAAAUAUAGGAACUUUGUUGAAAGCUAAACUCAACAUCUUGUCUCUCACUGACCCUUUUUCUGCUUAUAUGAUAUAAUUAAUAUUUCAAAAAUUAUGCUUUUUUUCUCUUAUUGUUUUAAAUCUCAAAAUUUAAUGUGCCCAUUUCCUUUUUGUUGUGUGGUUGUUGGCAAAAUUAAAUGUCACCAUAUUUAAGACUCUGUAUUUUUGUCUCUGUAAUUGGUCCCUCCCCUCUCUCACACAUUAAUUUUAAAGAAUCUCACAGGACAACAUAGUUACUCCAAAACAAAACAUGCCACCUUCUUUCUUCUUCAUCCUUGUUUUUUUUCUUCAUAGGGUCAAGUUAAACCUUUCUUUGUUCUUCUUUUUGUGUAUAAAUUCUGGUGAUGGAUAUUGAAGUUACUUAUGGUAGUAACAAGCUAGUAAUAUUUUCUUGUCACAUAGAUAUAUUAAUAUUUUAUUAUAUGUUGUUAUUUUGUUUAUUCAUUAGUGCAGGAACAGGUGACAUUCUAAGAAGUUUUCGUAUUCCAUUUCUUCAUCUUAGAUAAAAAAAUGUAGUGCAAGAAAUUUGAUAUCACCGUCUUAAUUGGGUAUGAGAUAUUGGUACAGUUCAAUCAAAAGGACGUGUUUUAUGAAUCUAAAGCUUUCUUAUUUGAUUGAGCCGUGCCAAUAUCACAUAUAACUAUCUAUAUUUCUAGAAAUUGGCAGCGCAUUAAGGAGACAAAGAUGAAUCAGGAUCUUCAUAUGAGGUGUAUUAAAGCAUGUAACAAUCGAACAUGGAGUGAUGAUCAAUUCCUUGAAGUGGGAUUCAAAUUGAAUUUGGUAAGUAGGUAACAAAAUCCGGUUAUUGCUUAUAUGAACAGAGAGGGAGCUUUCAAGGUACAUACAUGCAUUAAUAUUUGUGGAAAAUAUUUUCAUCUAAAAUUACACUGAUUUGGUGGUUUAAAACAUUGAAUUUAAUUUAUGUACACAAUCACAAUAAAGAAUAUUAUUGUUGUCUAUUAAUCAUAAUUGUCAUCUUACAGAAACAAAUAUUUGACUUCAAUUAUAAUUUUUUUAAAGUUAUAUAUAAAUGAUUGUGAUGUAUCGAUAGUUUUUACAUUAAUAGGGUCUUUUUUAAGAUUUUGGAUGUCAUGUGAUUGAUGAAUUUAAUGCCCUGUAUUUUUAAAGUUUUAUAUACAAUAAACAUGUCAAAUAAAAAGGCUUUUAGGACGAGGGUAUGAGAGAAAUGAACUUUAACUAUAAAUCAAUUCAUUAAUGGUUAACAUUAAAAAAUAAAGUCAAGUGAUUCUUUUAAGUAGUCAUUUUACACUUUCAAUCAUAAACAUUCAUAUAUAAUUAUAUGAUCAAAAUUUACUUAUCUCAUAUUAAAACUUCUAUCACU